UCCUGUACUACCGAUAACCGUUUGAGAGAAGGGAUGACACAGUAGGAUAAGCUAAGCACACUGUUGGUUAUGUGUGCCCAAGCAUUGAGGCAGUCAAAGUAGGCAAAUCCGCUUUGAUAAUGCUGGGAUGUGAUGGGGAGCGAAAUUUAGUAGCGAAGUAGCUGAUUUCACACUGUCAAGAAAAGUCUCUAUCGAGGUUAAAGGUACCCGUACCGCAAACCGACACAGGUGGGUGAGGAGAGUA
rnacentral:rRNA from 1 species